AUGAUUAAUCCAAACUCCAAAGCCCUAGAAAGAACAGGCGGGGCCCAGUUUCCCGAAGUGUUCCAACCACUUUUUCAGCAACAGUCACCUGCUUGGCUACGAGCCUCCGGACCGCCGCGCGCUAGCUGGUCCGCCCCAUGGGGGCCACGCACCGGGUUCCGCGUCCCUGCGAGGCGGCACCUCCUGGGCCCGGCAGAGCUGAGCACCUGGGAACCGCGCACCGAGAGCCCGACGGGGAGGUGGUUAGCUGGAACCGGCUCCUCCAGGCGGCCUCGCCCACUGCAAUGCAAUCUGGGUGGUUUUUCCAGGUCCCUCCCUGCCUCCUUCCGCGCCCAGUCCCUGCCCCCGCGACGCCCGAGGGCCUGGACAGGUGGCUCGGAGUUACCGGGGCUAGGGAGAAGCGAGGCCACUGCAGCAAGCCUGCCGGAAUCCAUUUAUGACUCCGCACUCCGAAGUCCAGGACAAGGAAGCACCCAACUCUGGAACUCAAGCAGCGGACGAGGGAGGUCUCGAACGCCGUCGCAGCGCUGCGAGUGUGGGACCCUGGCCUUCGCCCGCUCUAAGGGGACGCGAGCUGCUACCCGCAUCACGGGAGGCCCCGCCUCCGCCUGCACCUUCUCCUGCCAGGAAACGAGACGGCACGGGCCUCGGGCUCCUCUCCCCCCGUCCCGGGAGCCUGAACCCCCAGUGGGAAAGCCGGGCCUCCAGCUUCCCUUGACACGCGUUCUGAAAGGAUUUGUACCCGGAGUGGGUUCGGCAGGGAUAGGUGCAUGGUUGCCCGUUUCACAUCAUGAAUAUGAACGGGGCUGGACACCUGGAGCCGAAUUAGUAAUACUUCAGACAGAAUUCUGUUCCCAAGAACAAAUCGCUUUGAGAUGUAUAACCCGAGAAAACUUCACCCGUAGCGCUUUUCUCUCUAAAAUGUCAACAAGACCCAACAACAUACUGCCACAGAUGUGGUGGCUGGGGGUGAUGGUGGGGGGGCACAAGCCUCUGGCAGACCAAGCUGAGGUAGAGCAAGGAAGGUUGUUUGGGAGCUUGGUCAACACACUCCAAUACAAUAACAAACGCAUGAGCAGAGGGAAUGGGAUCAGGGCGCAGAACCUGGGAAGAAGCCUGCUUGGCCCGAAUUAA
rnacentral:lncRNA from 1 species